rnacentral:rRNA from 1 species
UACGGAGGGUGCAAGCGUUAAUCGGAAUUACUGGGCGUAAAGCGCGCGUAGGUGGUUUGUUAAGUUGGAUGUGAAAGCCCCGGGCUCAACCUGGGAACUGCAUCCAAAACUGGCAAGCUAGAGUAUGGUAGAGGGUGGUGGAAUUUCCUGUGUAGCGGUGAAAUGCGUAGAUAUAGGAAGGAACACCAGUGGCGAAGGCGACCACCUGGACUGAUACUGACACUGAGGUGCGAAAGCGUGGGGAGCAAACAGG